GGUAUGGUAGCUCAAAGGUUGAGCAUCAGGUUCCUAACCUGAAGGGUGCAGGUUCAAUUCAUGUCCAUACUU